rnacentral:rRNA from 1 species
GUGCCAGCAGCCGCGGUAAUACGGAGGAUCCAAGCGUUAUCCGGAAUCAUUGGGUUUAAAGGGUCCGUAGGCGGUUUGGUAAGUCAGUGGUGAAAGCCCUUCGCUCAACGGAGGAACGGCCAUUGAUACUGCCAGACUUGAAUUACUGGGAAGUAACUAGAAUAUGUAGUGUAGCGGUGAAAUGCUUAGAUAUUACAUGGAAUACCAAUUGCGAAGGCAGGUUACUACCGGUGUAUUGACGCUGAUGGACGAAAGCGUGGGGAGCGAACAGGAUUAGAUACCCUUGUAGUCC